UGAUCCUUAUUUAUCAAACCCUAGGUCCUUUAAUCAGUUAAGUACAAUAUAUAAUUUAAGAAUUAACCACUCUGCAGUUCUUCCUGAUCUCUCCACUAGACCCUGUGAGUGGACUAAUAUUCCCCAUUUUGAUCAUGGAAUUUGCAAAAUCAUUAAAGAAAAGCUUGCUGUUAUUGCUGUAGCUUUCAACAAUACUUUUGGUUGUGGAAACAGCCUCACUGCUUGAAUAUAGAAUUUGGUCUGAACCAAGCAGGCCCUUAUUGUUUAUCAAAUUCUGGAAAUAAUGGUUAUCAAAUAGAUCGGUGGAGUUUCGAUCAAAAGCUGUGGUCUUGUUUCCAUCACCGUUCACUGGACACAGGCUUUGCAGAUCAGACAACAUAUUUGAAUCCAAUGUGCUGUCAGGAGCUCCAGUUCCUGAGAAGUUGAACAACCUAUUGCUGAAGGUGGCACAUUUUGCUAGACCAAUUGUGUGAGAACCUGAUAAGGACACAACAUCAGUGAUGUUGAGGCCAACAGCAGCAAACUUGGCAAUGAUUGCAUUUAGUCCUUCAAAUGGAGAAGGCAAUGAAAGAUUUGCCUGCGCUUGGCUAGACACCAUCCCAUCUCUUCUUCCAAGGAGCACUUUCCAUGAUGGCCCUCCACUCAAGAGCGUAGAAUCUCGGGCCGCUAGGGCUAGUAUGUCAGCACAAGAUACAACUCCACUACACUGACUUUCCACGGCAGAUUUUAUAGCGUCCACAACUUCAAAUCCUCUUGCUGAGUUAAUGUUAGCCACGGAGAACUUCUCAACAUCAGUUCCAUCCAGCAAAAUUGAUCCAUCACAACCCUCUAUUUUGAAGUCCACUGUUCACAACUGUUCACUGUUAAGAAUUAACAGGGACAAUUAGAUUAGUCACCGCUGCCAAUGCUCUUCCCUAUGUUAGAUUCUUCAUUCCUUCUGCUCAUCUUUCGCCACCUCGUCUUGCCUCUUAUUCCCAAAACCCUCACUCUUAGACAAUUCCUUCUCCUCCUCCUUUGCAAUCAAUUUUUCUAUUUCGACAUCAUUCCUCACUUCUUCACCUUUUGCGUCAUCCUCCUUCUCAAUUACUUCAUUACUAACUACAAACUCACUUCCUACAAUUUUAUUCUCGAUCACGUCUUUCCCAAUUUCGACAUUAUAAGAUACAGUCUCUUGCAUACAAACAUCACGACUCUCCUUAACAUCAUUUCUAACACUCCUAACUUCUCCACUCCCACUCACAUACUCCAUCACCUCCCCAUUAUUCUCAUUUCCAGUCGCACCAUCAUCUGAUCCACCGUCACUCUCAUUCUCAUUUUCAUCAUUCUCAUAAACAUUUUCCACAACCUCCUCAUUCACAUCUUCAACAGCCAAAACGCUGCUUCCCUGACCUUGAUGCCUCUCCAAGAACUGCAACCUCCUCCUCAAAUCCCCCAACUCUCUCUCCAUCAGAAACAACCUCUCUUUCAGUGUCAAAUUCUCUUCUUCCAAUUGUGCUAUAUGGGUAUCUUGAUCAUCCACCCUAUUCUCCAAGACAUUGUUGUAACUACAAUCCCCACCUCCAUAAGUCGGGUAAAUCAUCUCAAACCUACUCAAAUCAUGGUCCAAUCUCCUUUCCACCUCCACAUGUUCUUCGACAUCACUCUCACUCGACCCAUUCCCCUCAUCUUCCUCCUCCUCAUCAUUAACCUCCGCUUCAUUUCCAGGUGAUCUCAGUCUUAUCAGACCCUUCAUGGACCCAUAUCCAUCAACACCCCAUUCUUCCUUUGCCAUGUCACCCAAUACCUCCCUUGACGGCGAGAAUAUCGGAGUGGGCAAAACAGCAGGGGUCACCGGACAAGGGGAUACUAAGGAUGCGAUGCCUCCGGCUUUUUUCGCACGGAUAAUAAAAGACGUUGUGUUUCGGGGCGCAAAAGGAGCAAACCGAUUGUUGAACUUUUUCUUUGGGUGAUAGUAUUUUCGAGCUUUCAUUCGGUUUUGGGUUUGGAGAUCAUUCAGGCUAGGGGGCUUGUAACCACUGGCACCACUAGGUCCGCCGGCAGCCAAGGCGGAAUUUGAGAUAAUGGGUUUAUUUGACAUGGGCUUUUCCAUUCUUCUCUGGUCCUUGUUGAUAUUUUUGCCCUUCCAAUUAGUGUUGCUUCUGGGUUUUGAAGGGAGAAAGUUAUUACUAAUAUUAUUAUUGAACUUCAAAGGGUUUUGUUGAUUCUGGAACUUCUUGUUCGCAUCCAUUGAAGACUGUUGCUGCGGUGGCCACGGCUUGUAGCUUCUAUUAUUCAUCAUCAUCAUGAUCGGAGGUUGCUGCUGGUUCAUUGGUCCACCAUGGCUCAUCCUCUGAGACUGAGACUGAACCGGGUUCAACACCUGGUGAGGAGGCUGGUUCAUGGCCUGAGAUUGAACCAGAGCCGCCGGAUUCUGGUUCAAAAUCUGAGGCUGAACCGGAUUCAUUACCUGAGGUUGACUCAUCAUCUGUGCCUGACUCAUCAACUGCAGUGGAUUCAUCAUUUGGGAUUGAUCGUCCAUUCUCUCACCCAGAAACCCUAAAUAGAAAUUGGAGUAAAAACCUUUGUGGGUUUUGAAAUCUAAAGCAAAAGAAUCAAUCUAAGGAACGAAAAUCCAAAAAUCUCUGAUUCAAUUUUGGAUCUUAAAUUUUGCUUGCCGAUUUCGAGAGAUCUUGGAAUUCCUCUAUCGGUUUUAAAAGGGCCGUUUCGAGUACCUUGAACAGGCAUGAAACGUAUGAGAUUCCUUUUAUAGGGGAUAAGGG
rnacentral:misc_RNA from 1 species